rnacentral:rRNA from 1 species
GACGAACGCUGGCGGCGUGCUUAACACAUGCAAGUCGAACGGAAAGGCCCUGCUUUUGUGUGGUGCUCGAGUGGCGAACGGGUGAGUAACACGUGAGUAACCUGCCCUUGACUUUGGGAUAACUUCAGGAAACUGGGGCUAAUACCGGAUAGGAGCUCCUGCUGCAUGGUGGGGGUUGGAAAGUUUCGGCGGUUGGGGAUGGACUCGCGGCUUAUCAGCUCGUUGGUGGGGUAGUGUCUUACCAAGGCUUUGACGGGUAGCCGGCCUGAGAGGGUGACCGGCCACAUUGGGCCUGAGGUACGGCCCAGACUCAUACGGGAAGCAGGGGUGGGGAAUAUUGCACAAUAGGCGGAAGCCUGAUGCAGCAACGCCGGGUGCGGGAUGACGGCCUUCGGGUUGUAAACCGCUUUCGCCUGUGACGAAGCGUGAGUGAGGGUACUGGAUAAAGAAGCACCGGCUACCUACGU